rnacentral:lncRNA from 1 species
AGAGAGUGUCACCUCCUGUCUUGGGAUCUUCAGGCUCUGCUAACUGGACCUCACCCUGCCUGCAGGAUCACAUUGCAAAGCUUUCACCCUUCCCCACCUUGCCUGGGGGUAAAUUUCUUCUGCGGAAUCUCAGAAAAUCAAAUUCCAUCCUAAGACUAUUUCACCAAGUAUUUCCUUAAGGAGCUGUGCUGGGGUCCUACGAUGAUACACCAACCACUUGUGCUACCACCUGUCAAAACUAUGGAUGGCCCUACUUUCAGGUCUUGACCUUUGUAUUUAAGAAAUUCUUCGAGACAAUGUUGAUUCUGAUCCAAGAGAAAAUGUGAUUUGAGUCUGGAGACAAUUGUGCAUAUCAACUAAAAAUAAAAGCUCAAAAUACCUGUUAGAAGAGAAAAUACUAUUUGGAAGAUUGCUACAUUUAAAAAGAAAAGCUUUUUCUAGUUUGAUUUAUAUUACAUCACAUAGUUCAUUUCGGCUUUAAUGAUGGAGAAAAAGUAUAUCCUGUAUUUUCUGUUUCUCUUACCUUUUUUUAUGAUUCUUGUCAUAGCAGAAACAGAAGAAGAAAACCCUGAUGACUUAAUUCAGUUGACUGUUACUAGAAAUAAAAUCAUGACAGCUCAAUAUGAAUGUUAUCAAAAAAUUAUGCAAGACCCUAUUCAACAAACAGAAGGCAUUUACUGCAACAGAACCUGGGACGGAUGGCUAUGCUGGAAUGAUGUUGCUGCAGGAACAGAAUCAAUGCAGCAUUGCCCUGAUUACUUUCAGGACUUUGAUCCUUCAGAAAAAGUUACGAAAAUCUGUGACCAAGAUGGAAACUGGUUUAGACAUCCAGAAAGCAACAGAACAUGGACAAAUUAUACCCAGUGUAAUAUUAACACACAUGAGAAAGUACAGACUGCACUGAAUUUAUUUUACCUGACUAUAAUUGGACAUGGAUUAUCUAUUGCAUCACUGCUUAUCUCACUUGGUAUAUUCUUUUAUUUCAAGAGCCUAAGUUGCCAAAGGAUUACCUUGCACAAAAAUCUGUUCUUCUCUUUUGUUUGUAACUCCAUUGUAACAAUCAUUCAUCUCACUGCAGUGGCCAACAACCAGGCCUUAGUGGCCACAAAUCCUGUUAGUUGUAAAGUGUUCCAGUUCAUUCAUCUUUACCUGAUGGGAUGUAACUACUUUUGGAUGCUUUGUGAAGGCAUUUACCUACACACACUUAUUGUGGUGGCCGUGUUUGCAGAGAAGCAACACUUGAUGUGGUAUUAUUUUCUUGGCUGGGGAUUUCCACUGAUUCCUGCUUGUAUACAUGCUGUUGCCAGACGCUUGUACUACAAUGACAAUUCUGAUACCCAUCUCCUCUACAUUAUCCAUGGCCCGAUUUGUGCUGCUUUAUUGGUGAAUCUUUUUUUCCUUUUAAAUAUUGUACGAGUUCUUAUCACCAAGUUAAAAGUUACUCACCAAGCAGAGUCCAAUCUCUACAUGAAAGCUGUGAGAGCUACACUUAUCUUGGUGCCAUUACUUGGCAUUGAAUUUGUGCUGAUUCCAUGGCGACCUGAAGGAAAGAUUGCAGAGGAGGUAUACGAUUACAUCAUGCACAUCCUUGUGCACUAUCAGGGUCUGUUGGUAUCUACAAUUUAUUGCUUCUUUAAUGGAGAGGUUCAAGCAAUUCUGAGAAGAAACUGGAAUCAAUACAAAAUCCAGUUUGGAAACAGCUUUUCCCACUCAGAUGCUCUCCGAAGUGCAUCUUACACUGUGUCAACCAUCAGUGAUGGUGCAGGUUACAGUCAUGACUAUCCAAGCGAACACUUAAAUGGAAAAAGCAUCCAUGAUAUGGAAAAUAUUGUCAUAAAACCGGAAAAGUUAUACGACUGAUACUAGAGGGAGUAUUGCUAAACUGUGCCACUCCUAACUCAAGGAUUUGUAUCUGUGAUUUCACAACCAGAAGACUUUAAGUGAACGUCAUGAAGAUGACAAAGAAACCCCUCACAUGAACAUAGCCGUGUGUUGAUAAAUGUUUCAUAAUAGCUCCAUGGGGGAAAAAAGCUCUGAUUUGUAGUGUCUGCCAGUUUUUAUGGUGUAAACAUCCCCACCAUGGCUGAUUUGAAACUAUCAGCUUGACAUCACUGAAUGUAGAAUUGGGUAAAGAUGAGCACAGUCAGUUCUUGUAGGCUGGUGUGAGCUGGCUCUAGCACACCACUGCAUGCAUCCACAUAUAGAAGUUCAUAUACACCUUGGGCAAAAGAUUAUAAAAGUUCAUAUAUACCAUGGGCAAGAUUCUACUCUCACAGCCUAAAGAGACCUAGUUAAGGCCUAUACACUUGAAGGGAAAAAUCAGCUUUUCAUGUCUUUGUUUUUAAAAUCUUUAUCCCACAGUCAUUUGUGCAGAGGAUUUUUUUUUUUUUCCCAGAAAGUAUUUUAACACUUCUUGUUUUUACUUUUUCAAAUAGAACAGGUAAGGCGUUACUUAUUCCUAUUGGCUUACUCUCUUCUCCCCAGGAAAAACAACAGAGCAGAACCGCUAUUGGUUACUCAUGUGCUGGUACAUCACAGUUAUACUUUCUGUCGUAUCCAUUUUUGAGACUUGAUAAAUAGUAUUAUGAAAUGCAAUCCUACUUUGGUAUCAUUAGGGAGAUGUCUUGGUUGAUACUAUAAAACAUGCUGUCAACUAUUUUACCGUCCUACUAUACAAGUGGGAGGGAAUCUGUGUCCAUGUACCUGUAAAUAGGAACUUUGCUCCUCCUCUCAUUUCUACUAUGUGGACAAAUUAGCAGUUAUUUUACAUGAAGGAAAACAAUGAAGGAGUUCAUAUUUUCUUAAAAGUUUGUAAAAAAUUUGUUGUGAAAAGUGAGCUUGUAAAUACUCUGUUAUUCUAUUUUAUAGUCUCAAACAUAUACAAUCUAAGUAAGUUUUUUUUUAAAAAAAAAACUUAAUGUAACAUUGUGUGCUUGUUAAUGUCUGAUACUGUGUCUGGGCUGAUUUUAUAAUAAAAUAGGAUCUGGAAUUCUAUAUUUGGUAAAUAUUUUAAAGACAACCAGAUGCCAGCAUCAGAAGUUUGUUUGAGAACUAAGUAAUAGAAAUAUCUAUGAUAAGAUAUAAAAUAUUUAUUUUUGAAAACCCUCAAGGACCUUGUUUUAUUGAAUAUAUUACCUUUGAUGAUUCAUACCUUAAUAAUAGGUAUGUUUGACAUAUUUAUCCUUCUAUUUUGACGAUGAACUUUCAUUCUAAUUCAGAAAAUUUGAACGACUCUUAUAGUAAAUCCCCACUCUUUUGGUUUUACCCCAUUAAAAAUAUUACUUUUCUAAAUUACUAUAAGAAGAUAUAUGGCUUUGGAAAUAUUCCAAGCUAAUUUUAAAAAGUAGAGGAAUACAAUAUAUAUCAUAUACAAUUUUUAAUAUUUUAAUAGAGCUACUAUACAAUUCAGUGAAAGAACUGAAUCUAUCAGUGAGAAAGAAUGAAUGUAUCAGAACAUUUAGGGAAUAAAUAAAUUAAGAUGGAAGAAUCUUGCUAAUGAAUUAGAGGGACAUUUAAAUAAGAUUCAGUUUCCCUAAUGUUAUUUUCCACUGAAAUUUCUGAAAAACGAAAUGCCUUCUAUUAGUAGGUUAAUUUUGUCAGAAAAACUCAUAUGUGUUUUAUUGCAGUAUGUCAAUCUGCUUUAAAUGGAUUAAACUAAUGACUUAGUCAUCAUAGAGUGUUUCUUAAGCUGUCAAUAGGUGGUAAGUUCAGAAGUCAUUUGAGAUUGUCCAGGUUAAUUAUCCAAAUUAGUAAGAAUUAACUUAUUAAAUAGCCUGGUUGAUAGAUUUAUAAUUUAUGAUUUAUCUAUAUGCAUGGAGAAGCUGAUAUAUUGUUAGUUUUCAAUUUAUGGAUUUCAUAAUAAGAUGUCAUGAAAAGGAUUACAGGCUGUUCUGGACUUUCUAAUUCCUAAAUUAUACAAAAAUUCCUUUAAAUGAACUCAGUUUUUAGCUAUUUAUUAUUCAAAGACACAGAUUCAGACCCUUUGCUGGUGUCAUUCAUAUAUUUCAGCAUUUUUCCAGACAAACUAUCAAGUAUAAACCAUAAAUAACAGUAGAAAAUGUCAAAUUAUCAGUGGGCACUAUAUUAAAAUUACAUUAUAACUUUCAAGUAUUUUUACUGUGUUUUUAUCAUAUUAAGUUUAGAUCAAAUUUCCUUUAUGGCCAGGAUUUAUCUGUUGUACCAUCUUUUGGUGUAGGCAAUCCAUGAUUAAUUAGUGUUAGUUUUACACUCAUGUAUAUUUAGGAGUAACAUUUUUUUAGUAUUAGACUUCUCUAAAGCUGAAGUGCUAAUAAUUAAGAUUUCAUUUAUAUCCUACUCAUGAAGAAAAAGUAUAAUUAAUACCUUUUAAAAACAAACUUCUUUGGUAUCUAAAAGCUUAUUUGGGGAAUUUCUAACUUUUAAAAUGAAAAUCUGCUACUUUUCUGCAAGUACUUGUGAAAGUCAUUUUAAUUUUUUAAAAAAUUUAGCCCUUUAAUUUCUAAAUAUAUUUAGUGCAUUUAUUCAUAAAAUUUUCAUUCUGGAAUUUAGCGCUUAUUCAAAUGUAAUCCAUGUACAUAGAUGUAGUGGGAACUGUUGUGCUGUAUUUAUUGCUUGUAUAAUUUUUUUAAAAUGUGAACUUAUUUUUAUUUUCUCUUGGUUUUAAUAUGCUAAUGGAAACCACCAUGUCUUUUAUUUCUAAAACAUAUUCAAGAUAUUCUGAUCAAUUUAAAAAACUCAUAUUAUGCCUACUUAAUGUAUAUCUCUAUAUUUUUACUGUAUGAAAAUAUUAAAGUUAUGAGCUAAAAUUGAUUUUCACUCACAUUUACUGAAGCACUGACUAAUCUAAAUUAUAAAUCUUUAUAGCAAUCAGUGGAAUACAUCUUAAAAUCAAUAACCCUGUAAAUCAUUCCAUUAACCAAUUUGUUAAAAUUAUAAUUUAUUUUAUAAGUUAGAAAAUUCCAAAUAAACUUCAGUGUAUACAAAUUCCUUCCUAGGCUGAAAGAAAUGAAAAGAUAAAAAUGCCCAGAUAUGGGAAAAUGUACAGAGAUUUAUCUUCUUUCUCCUUUAUAUUCCAUUGUACUAUUUUGUGUUGAAUAGCAGGGAGACAAAGAAGGAAAAGAACUAUUUAAAUAAAUAAUUCACCCAUUUAAAGUCAUUUUUAGUGUAUUAUAUUAGUGUAGUAUAUUUACAUAUAUUCAAAGAUAUGUAAGCAUCCCACGGUUCAUUUUAUUACACUUUCAAGACCUCAGGAGGAAACCAUGCAUGUUUCAUUCCUUCAUCCUUUCAUCCCUGCUCUCAGCCAGCCCUUCGGCAUAACUAACCUACUUUCUAUCUCAAUAGACUUCCAUAUUCUCAACUUUCAUAUGAAUGGAAUCACAUAGAACAUGAUCUUUGGUGACUGACUUCUUUCACCUAUAAUGUUUUCAAAGUUUAUUCAUGUUUUAGCUUGUUUCAGUUUUUCAUUCCUUUUUAUGCCUAAAUUAUUCCAUUGUAUGGAUUUACCACAUUUUGUUUAUCCACAUUUGUCUGUUGAUAUACAUUUGUGUUGUUUCCAUCUUUUGGCUAUUAUGAAUAAUGUUUCCAUAAACAUUUGUGUACAAGCUGUUUAUUUUAAAAUAUAUAUUUUAAUUUCACUUGGUUAUAUACCUAGAAGUGGAAAUGUUGGGUCAUAUGUUAACUGUGUUUGAGAACUGCCAGACUGUUUUCCAAAAUAGCUGGACCAUUUCACAUUUCCACUAACAAUGUCUGAGGGUUCUGCUUUCUCCACAUGUUUCCCAACAGAUAAUAAUAAGUUAUUAUCUGUUUUUGUGCUUUAGUCAUCCUAGUAGGUGUGAAGUGGAUUUUAUAGUUUUAAUUUACAUUUCUUUGAUGGCUAAUAAUGUUGAGCAACUUUUCACAUUUUUAAUGGCCACUUGUAUACAUUCUUUAGAGAAAUGUCAAUACAAAUCCUUUGUCCAUUUUCAAUUGGAUUGUUUGUCUUUUAUUAUUGAGUUGAAAGAGUUCUUAAUAUAUUCCAGAUGUAGGUCCCUCAUCAGAUUUGCACACAUUUUCUCCUAGUCUCUUGAGUUGUCUUGUCAUUUUCUUGAUGGUGCCUUUAUAGCACAAAAAAGUUAAUUAUAUUGAUGAAAUGCAAUUAUCUAGUUUUUCUUUUGUUGCUUAGUCCGUUGGUGUUUUAUAUAAAAACCCUUUCCCAAAUUCAAGGUCAUGAUCAUCUACCCCUACAGUUUCUUCUAAGAAAUUUAUAGUUUGUGUUCUUUGGUCCAUUUUGAGUGAAUUUUUGUAUAUGGUGUGAGAUAAGAAGCCAAAUUCAUUCUUUUUCAUUAUCCAGGUACUAUUCACUGAAAAACGUUAUUUUUCUGCACUGAAGAAUAUCCUUGUAUCUAUGUCCUUAUCAAAAUUCAAUUUACCAUAAAUGUAUGGGUUUAUUUCUGAACAAUUCUCUUGGUCUUUGUACCCAAACCACAUGUCUUGAUUAUUUUGCUUUGUUGUAAGAUUUGAUGUUAGGUAGUUUGAGUUAUUCUAUUUUAUUCUUUCUCACAGAUGUUUUGGCUAUUCUAGGUCUCUUGUAAUUCCAUAUGCAUUUUAGAACGAGCUUGUAAAUUUGUACAAAGAAGCCUGCUGGAAUUCUGAUAAAGAUUAAUUGAAUCUAUAGAUAAUUGGGGGAAUAUUGCUAUCCUAAUGUUAAAUUUAACAUUUGAUGAACAUUGGAUUCAUGAACAUUGGAUCAUGAACACUGGAUGACUUCAUACUUACUUCAAUUUUUAACUGUUUUCAAUGGUGUUUUGUAGUUUUUGGAGUGUAACUUUUUCAUUUACUUGUCAAAUUUAUUCCUAAGCAUUUUAUUCUUUCUGAAGCUAUUAUUAAUGGAAUUGUUUUCUUAAUUUUACUUUUAGAUUGCAUAUUCCAAGUGUAUAGAAAUAAAAUUAACUUUUGUAUAUUGAUCUUAUAUCCUGCAACCUUGCUGAACUCAUUUAUUAGUUAUAUUUUAGUGGAUUCCUUAUGAUUUUUCAUAUAAAAAUCAUGUCAUCUGCAAAUAGAGAUAGUUUUACUUCUUCCUUUUGAAUUUGAAUGCCUUUUCUUUCUUUCUUUUCUAAAUGCCAUGGCUAGAAUGUUCAGUAAAAUGUUGAAUAGAAGCAGCUAGAGCACACAUCAUUGUCUUGUUCCUGAUCUUAGGGGAAAGUAAUUAGUCUUUUGUCAGUAAGUUAGUUAACUGUGUUUUUUAUAGAUGCCCUUUAUCAGUUUGAGACAGUUCCCUUCUCUUCUAGUUUGUUAAUUGCUUUUACCAUGAAAAGAUGUUGGAUUUCGUCAAAUGCUUUUUCUGCAUCUAUUGAUACAAUCAUGUGAUUUUUGUUUUAUAUUUUAUUGAUACAAUGUAUUAUAUUAAUUCUCAGAUAUUAAAACAAUCUUGCAUCCC